rnacentral:snRNA from 1 species
GGAUGGUUUAAGACGAUCUGGCUGUGACAUCUGUCAUCCCAUUUGAUAGCAGGGUUAAUUUGGCUGAUCUGGCUGGCUAAGUGGGGGACUCCUUCCUCUCUCACCGCUCCACAUGCAUCCUUCCUGAAGCCGCAUGCUCGGUAAAAGAGGACAACUUUCUCCGAUAGAGGAAGACCACUGUUCAGUCAAUAGUAUAGGAGUAGAUGCUCCCCUGAAGCUUCACACAAGUUCUCAAGUUUCAUUUGUAGAAGAACAUCAGGUAGUCAAGCUUCCAAGACUCCAGACACAUCCAGAUGAGGCGCUGUGUGUGGCAGUCCACCUUUCUGU